AAUAGAAGAAUGACAAAUCAGAUUUUCUUCUUAUUUUCAACUUUUUUCUCUUGAAAAAAUUCAAAUCCAACUAAAAAAGCUGAAAAUAAAGAGGAAAAAUCUGAUUUGUCAUUAUUCUAUU
rfam:Gossypium arboreum cultivar AKA8401 contig_1328_7, whole genome shotgun sequence.